CUAACCCUGGCCUGCAGUGGCUGAAGAGAACCAACAAAUGAUGUUACACGUACCAACAAUUCUACACAUGGAGUCAUGAGACAAUGAUUGUUGACAACCUCAUGUAAAGGACAAUGAGAAGUGUAGCUCACAGCCAGGAUGCCUUUGAGUUCCUCAGCCACCACUUCAUAUCAGAAGAUCUUAAGAAUCAGGAAAAGUUUGCUCACUACUCAGUCUCCUUGACAUCUAAAGGAUGUGAUAUAGGACAGUUAUAAAUGAACCUUUGGCUUACGCGGAGACAUCAGGCAGACUGAGA
rnacentral:lncRNA from 1 species